UAGGUAGCAUUCCCCACAGCCGAACUUCUGCUUCCGGUCUUCGGAUCGGUCCAUGGUAGCUAUGGAGGAACCGGAGAUGCAACUCAAGGGAAAGAAAGUCACAGACAAGUUCACUGAGAGCGUCUAUGUCCUUGCCAACGAGCCGUCCGUGGCCCUAUACCGGCUGCAGGAACACGUGCGCCGCUCUCUGCCCGAGCUGGCCCAGCAUAAGGCUGACAUGCAGCGGUGGGAGGAGCAGAGCCAGGGAGCCAUUUACACAGUGGAGUAUGCCUGCAGCGCCGUGAAGAACCUCGUCGACAGCAGCGUCUACUUCCGCAGCGUGGAGGGUCUUCUCAAACAGGCCAUCAGCAUCCGGGACCACAUGAACGCUGCUGCCCAGGGCCACAGGUAGCUCCGGGGACCGCGUCCUCCUGCUCCUCUCAGCCUCCUCACUCCCUGAGGAACCACCCCCGCCCUCCUCAGCCUGAUCUCAGAAGAGACUUGGAGGUGCUUUGGCCCCUCUGAUGCAGGCAGAGCCCAGCAUGGCGGUUACCCACCCAGCUCAGGAAUCUUCGCCCCACUGCCGACCUGCCGUGUGACCCUGAGAAAGUCCCUCCCCUCUCUGGUCUCUGCUUUUCCCUUCUGUCAGAGUGGCUCGUCAGGCAGCGGAGGGUGCUGUGCCCAGUGAUGUGUGUUGUAGCUGUCAGCUACUGCCGCAUGACAGACUUUCCCAGAACUUAGGGGCCAACACACCAGUCGUGGGCCUGCUCGCAGUUCUGCAACGUGGGCUGGGCCCCGCUGGGCACGUUGGCCGGGCUGACCUGGAGGCCACCAUCUGGCACUCAUCAGAGUUUGAUGGGGCUGCACAGUCAGAGGCGGCCUUGCUGUCACAUCUGAAUCUUGACCACUGCUGUCUGGCUGCUGGGGGUCCAGUCCUCCUGGGCAUGGCCUCCCAGGCAGGCCAGCCCAGGCUUCUCUGGGGACCGGGUGCCAAAGAGAGCAGCCCCAGCAUGCACGACGUUCACCUUGCGGCUGUUCCAUUGGUCAAGGCCAGCCAUGUGGCCAGGCCCAAAAGCCAAGGGGUGAGGCCUGCAGGGAGGCAUCAACACCAAGAGUGUGGCUGACCACGUGAGGAGAGCAUGGCGCCCAGGAAGGCCGCGCAUGUUGCUCUUCUGUGCCCGUGGAGGGCAGACCCCGGCAGAUGGGAGGCCCCUGAGGGACUUUCUAGCCCUUACUCUUGUAGCUCUCAAAGCCCUGCUCAUUUGCCGGGCACUGUGAUGGCGCUCUCAGAGGGCUGGGGUGGGGACCGGGCCUUCACAGCCCCAGAGCAAUAGCGCCUCCCCAGAACCGAGAGACAACAGAGCUCCUGCCUGUGUGGUGUGAGGACUUCGUGAACAGCUGCUGGGUGCUACGUUUAGCUCUCUCGGGGUACUGGGGAGUCCCACAGGCUGUGGGAUUGCCUAGGGGGCAUCAGGAGGGCCUGGAGCAGGGGGGGCUGCCAAGAGCAUCAGCAGCCCACCCCAGUGGCCUGCACAGGGUUGCCCACCAGCCCUGGGCCCACAGACCACCAUCUCCCUCCUCGUCUUUGCCCUGGUCCCUCCCACCAUCCAACCUCAAGGAUACUGCCCUUCCGACACCCCGUGUCUUCUACUGUCCCUCUGCUGCUGCAGCCCCUCGGAAUAAAAUGCUCUGUGGCUCCUCUGGA